rnacentral:rRNA from 1 species
UACAGAGGGUGCAAGCGUUGUUCGGAUUCAUUGGGCGUAAAGGGUGCGUAGGCGGCGCGGUAAGUCGGGUGUGAAAUCUCGGGGCUUAACUCCGAAACUGCAUUCGAUACUGCCGUGCUUGAGGACUGGAGAGGAGACUGGAAUUUACGGUGUAGCGGUGAAAUGCGCAGAUAUCAGGAGGAACACCGGUGGCGAAGGCGGCCUUCUGGACAGUGACUGACGCUGAGACGCGAAAGCGUGGGGAGCAAACAGG